rnacentral:rRNA from 1 species
CCUACGGGAGGCAGCAGUGAGGAAUAUUGGUCAAUGGGCGAGAGCCUGAACCAGCCAAGUCGCGUGAAGGAGGACGGCCCUACGUGUUGUAAACUUCUUUUGUCAGGGAGCAAUUGAGUCCACGUGUGGUCUUAGCGAGAGUACCUGAAGAAAAAGCAUCGGCUAACUCCGUGCCAGCAGCCGCGGUAAUACGGAGGUUGCGAGCGUUCUCCGAAUUUAUUGGGUUUAAAGGGUGCGUAGGCGGAAUAUCAAGUCAGCGGUAAAAAUUCGGGGCUCAAGCCCGUCGUGCCGUUGAAACUGGUGUUCUUGAGUGGGAGAGAAGUAUGCGGAAUGCGUGGUGUAGCGGUGAAAUGCAUAGAUAUCACGCAGAACUCCGAUUGCGAAGGCAGCAUACCGGCGCCAAACUGACGCUGAAGCACGAAAGCGUGGGUAUCGAACAGGAUUAGAUACCCUAGUAGUC